GAAUCUUGCGCAAUGGGCGAAAGCCUGACGCAGCCAUGCCGCGUGAAUGAUGAAGGUCUUAGGAUUGUAAAAUUCUUUCAGUAGGGACGAUAAUGACGGUACCUACAGAAGAAGCACCGGCCAACUUCGUGCCAGCAGCCGCGGGAAUACGCAGGGGGCUAGCGUGGCUCGGAAUUACUGGGCGUAAAGGGCGCGUAGGCGGAUCGUUAAGUCAGAGGUGAAAUCCCGGAGCUCAACUUCGGAAUUGCCUUUGAUACUGGCGAUCUUGAGUGUGAGAGAGGUAUGUGGAACUCCGAGUGUAGAGGUGAAAUUCGUAGAUAUUCGGAAGAACACCAGUGGCGAAGGCGACAUACUGGCUCAUUACUGACGCUGAGGCGCGAAAGCGUGGGGAGCAAACAG
rnacentral:rRNA from 1 species